UCCGGUUGAUCCUGCCGGACCCGACUGCUAUUUGGGUGAGAAUAAGCCAUGCGAGUCGAAUGGGAUACCUAAAUUUCCCAUGGCAAACUGCUCAUUAACACAUGAUCAACUUACCCUAUAGAGAAAAAUAACCUCGGGAAACUGAGGAUAAUAUUUCGUAGUUGAAUAGGCUUGGAAAAGUUUUUCAAUAAAAGGGAUAAAAAAAAUGGUUUUUAUCUGCUAUAGGAUAGGAUCGUGGACGAUUAUGGUUGUUGGUGAGGUAACGGCUCACCAAGCCGAUAAUCGAUAAGGGCCGUGAGAGCGGGAGCCCCGAGAUGGGUACUGAGACAACGACCCAGGCCUUACGAGGCGCAGCAGGCGCGGAACCUCCGCAAUACACGAAAGUGUGACGGGGUUACCCAAAGUGUUCAAUUCUGAACUGUGGUAGGUGAGUAAUGUUCCCUACUAGAAAGGAGAGGGCAAGGCUGGUGCCAGCCGCCGCGGUAAAACCAGCUCUUCAAGUGGUCGGGAUAAUUAUUGGGCUUAAAGUGUCCGUAGCCGGUUUAGUAAGUUCCUGGUAAAAUCGGGUAGCUUAACUAUCCGUAUGCUAGGAAUACUGCUAUACUAGAGGGCGGGAGAGGUCUGAGGUACUACAGGGGUAGGGGUGAAAUCUUAUAAUCCUUGUAGGACCACCAGUGGCGAAGGCGUCAGACUGGAACGCGCCUGACGGUGAGGGACGAAAGCCAGGGGAGCAAACCGGAUUAGAUACCCCUGUAGUCC
rnacentral:rRNA from 1 species